rnacentral:rRNA from 1 species
UGGGAAUUUUGCACAAUGGGGGAAACCCUGAUGCAGCGACGCCGCGUGAUUUAGAAGGCCUUCGGGUUGUAAAAAUCUUUUCUAUGGGAAGAAAAUGACAGUACCAUAGGAAUAAGGACCGGCUAAUUACGUGCCAGCAGCCGCGGUAAUACGUAAGGUCCGAGCGUUGUCCGGAAUCAUUGGGCGUAAAGGGUACGUAGGCGGGUAAGCAAGUUAGAAGUGAAAUCCUGUAGCUCAACUACAGUAAGCUUUUAAAACUGCUCAUCUUGAGAUAUGGAAGGGAAAGUGGAAUUCCUAGUGUAGCGGUGAAAUGCGCAGAUAUUAGGAGGAAUACCGGUGGCGAAGGCGACUUUCUGGCCAUAAUCUGACGCUGAGGUACGAAAGCGUGGGUAGCAAACAGG